rnacentral:tRNA from 1 species
CAGUAAGUAGUUUAAUUAAAAUAUUAGUUUUGGAGACUAUAGAUGGGAAAAUUUUCUUUACUGA